rnacentral:rRNA from 1 species
AGAGUUUGAUCCUGGCUCAGAACGAACGCUGGCGGCGUGGAUAAGACAUGCAAGUCGAACGCUGGUUUGCGGGUAGCAAUAUUUGCAAACUGGAGUGGCGCAAGGGUGUGUAACACGUGGGUCAUCUGCCGUGAAGUCCGGGAUAACUUGCUGAAAGGCGAGCUAAUACCGGAUGUGAACGCAAGUUCAAAGUUGGGGAC